GUAAGGGAACUGGCUCCCUGUGUGGACCGGUGUCCCCAGCUUCCUGAAGAAUUUUUAGUAAAGGGCAUCGUGAGGGCCCCAGCCUGGGGGCCGUGUCUGGUUUUGAAUGCCUCCGAGUGGCAGGGCGUGUUUGGGCUGAUGCGGGACCCUCUCUCCCUCUUGGGCAAUCACAGGGGGCUGGGAGUGAUCCAGACACACGGGAGGUUAUUCCCGAGGGAACAGCCUGCCUGGCGGACUGUGUAAAAGCCACUGUGAGGUCUGUAUGUCCUGAGAACGGGGACUGCCCAGCCGCCCCUCUAAGUGCAGAUGGAGCACCCCAGAUGGAAGAGCUGCUAAUGCUUCCUAUGUGGGACUGGCUUUGCAGUGACCGAGGUAGGCGCCCACUGAAUGGUCCUGGUACACAGGUCACGGUGAGUGCUGAGGCUAAGGGCCCGUGUAACCUGACGGCUACAAAAUCGAGCAGUUUGAGGAGGCUUCUCAGAUUUCUUACCUCAGCUUCCCCUCGUGGGUCUUACGAUACCAAGAACAUGAGCAUAACUAGGAAGAUGGGGAGAGACAAAGGGGAGAGUGAAGGGACUCGGGCCAAGUGAGUGGGAGUUUUCAGAUGGUUAUUGAAAAAUUGUGUGAAUCAAGCAGACACUGCUGGGGUUGAAAAAAGGUAUUAAUGUAGCAGUACCAGAAAGUGGGUGAGCCGGUGGGAACCCCUGUUGUUGCUGCAACAUUACAGCAGCCCAAAAACUCCACUCUGUGUACCCCAGUUCGGAGGAAUUUAAAAACCCUGAAGUCCAUGAUUACAAUAAGGAAACUGACUGGGAAUCCCCGGGAGUGGUGGUCAGGCAGGUUAAUCAAUCUAAAGAUAGACAAAAGUGCCAGGGUCUUCUGGCCGCACCCCAGCCUGGGACCUGAGACCGUUCGCAUGUAUGUGGGAAAAAUGGCCAGGGGGAGGAGGAAAAUGGCCCUGGGGCUCCUUGGUACAGGAGCCCAAUGCACUAUGAUACCAAAACCUAUUGGUGAAGUCUUAGCAGGGGCUAAGGUUAGAGUGGGAGGAUAUGGAGAUGCAGUGGCUGAUGGUAUUGAGGUGGAAGUUUGGAUGAAAAUUGAGUGUUUGAGCACGUUUUGCUUGAGGUGGUUGCGUCCCCUUUACCUGAAAGGAUUAUUGGGGUGGAUACUGUGUCUGACUGGGGUUGGCUUCCCCUGCCUAAUACAGUAACACAGAAGGCAUGUAAGCCCACCCUCAGGCCUGUUUAGUCGGACAUGCUAAAUUGGGAAUGGCUGGAACUUGACAAACAUAUCACCAUUCUUAGGAGUGCCAUGCUGGAAGCUGGAGCGCUGCUGUCCGCAGAUCUGCUGUGCAGUAGUCCUGUGUGGCCUGUGCAGAGGUGGACGGCACAUAGAGACUAUUCAAGCUUAAAUGAAAUGGGUGCCGCCCAAGGUCCCAGCAGUUCCAGGCAUGGUCUCAGCCGUAGAGAAAGUACAGCAGGUUGGAGGAGGCUGGUACCCCUGGAUGGACCUUACAGAUGCUCUCUUCUCCGAGCCCGGUUUGCCUUCAGGUGGGAAGGAUCCCAGUUUGCCUCUGCUGUGCUAGGCGGGGAUCUGAGCUCCACGGCUGAUUGUCACCACGUGGUCAGGAGGGAUAUGGACUUGGCGCAACGCUUGAGUGUAAUAAUACACGAUGUUGGUGACAUUAUGGUAAUACCAGAAACGGAGGAGCUGGCUAGGACUCAUUUGAAUGCAACAAGGACAUACGUGCCCAACCAGGGCUGGUUAAUAAAUCCAGCGAAGGUCCAAGGUCCUGCUCAGUGAAAUUCGUAGGAAGAACAUGGGCAGGAGCCACCCAGGAUAUUCCAGAAGUGUGACUAUCAAUAAACUGCUGUCACUCCCCCACCAGGUCCAAACAAGAAGCCCAGCACUUGCUUGAUUUAUUUGGGUUUUGGAGGACUCACAUUCCACACCGGGAACUAUUUCUAGCUCCUGUGUGUAAGACUCCAUUAAAGAAACCUGCAUCUGAGUGGGGUCCUGAACAGAAGCAGGCCACGUCAGAACUAUACAUGGCAGCUGUGUGCUUGACACCAUCGGGCCCUUGUGACCCCCACUGAGACAGGAUUUUGGAAGUGUCUGCCCCCCACACCCAUGCAGACUGCACCUUGUGGGAAUAAAAAGAAAACGAGCACCUCCCAGCUGUGACCCUUGGGAUUCUGGACCAGAAAAUUCCCACAUGGUGCUGCCUGGUACACACCACUUGGGAGACAAUUAUGAACAUGCUGUUGGGAAUUAAUCAAGACUGCUUAAGUGACCAAAGGGCAGGCUGCCAGGAGGAUGCAAGGAGGCGCCCAUGGAUCCACGAGCAGGCAGCCUCAUCUCCUCUGGGACCGACACUGGAGCCCCCCGGGAACUGCAUGGACGGUGCCCUAGGAGCAGCUCUCAGCUGAACAACAGAGCUGCUUGGUUUACAGAGGGCAGUUCCAGGAGGCAUGGACUCCUUCCUGGUUGGAGGGCUGCUGCAGUAAGACCAGGGGAUGGCAAGACUGGCUGGGAGGAAGGAGAUAAACAUGAUCUCAGUGGGCUGAAUUCCAUGCCCUUUUCUGGGCAGUGACGGGAGAAUGGAGCAGUGAGGAAAGCCCCUCGUGCUGGGGUUCCUAUGACUUGGGGCUGUGGAUACUGGCCUGACUGUGUGGCCACGUAGACAGGAAAUGGGAAACUGGACUAUGAAAGCAAUGCCCACGUGGACAACGGCCAUAUGGAUAUUGCCCUGGGAAUUUGAGGGGCACGUUAAAGCAGGCCAUGUUGGUUUGUAUCAGAAGAAGCCUUUCUAGGAGUGGGAGGUGACUGUAGCCACCAGGUGGGCCUGCUGGUGCGGCCCUUGGAGGCAGCCGCCGGGGUCCAUACAAAGAGUGGCUGUGGGGAGCUGCAGCAGCGCGCGCACAGGCUGAGUCUACGCGUAUUCCUCUUGCACCCUGUGAGGCACGGAAUGCCAGCAAGACCUGUUCCGACUGUCAGCUAAAGAGACAGACACUGCAUUUGGCUAUGGGGAAAGUUCCCCAGUGGGCACGCCCUGCACAUAGCUGGCCAGUGGGUGAGAUUGGAUCAACGCUGCUACCGCUCGGAGGCUGUAAGUGGGUCGUUAGCAGAGUAGACACUUAUUCGGGACUAUGCUUUGCAUACCCAGUGGUAGGUGAAAUGCUGAAGACACCGUUUAAGGUUUGGAACUGAAGAUUCUAUACCAGUUUGGACAGCCAGGUUACAUCUCCGACCAGGGGACACGCUUUACCGACCAUGCUGUUCCACGGUGGGCCGAGAAACAUCCCAUCAGACGGAUGUACAGUGUUGCAUGUCACUCUCAGAGCAAUGGUUUAAUAGAAAAUUGGAACGGGC